CUGAAAGCAUCUAAGCGGGAAACUUGCCUCAAGAUGAGAUCUCACUGGGAACUUGAUUCCCCUGAAGGGCCGUCGAAGACUACGACGUUGAUAGGCUGGGUGUGUAAGCGUUGUGAGGCGUUGAGCUAACCAGUACUAAUUGCCCGUGAGGCUUGACCAUAUAACACCCAAACA
rnacentral:rRNA from 1 species